UGGCAAUGAACCUUUCAUUUUCUUCAGCCUUAUAUUCACUGCUGCCUGUGUUCACUGCAUUCAAUUUACAGGCUUCAUAGACUAAUCAGAGUGAGAACAAAAUCACUAAAACUGAAACCAAGUAAUCAGCAUCAUCUUUUGUUUUGAACAGUUGGAAAUGUGCAUAAAAUGUAGCUCUCCUCAAUGUAUUUAGGGGCUGAGGUGUGAGAAAGUGAUAAAAAAGAAAAAUUCAGUGAUACCUUAUUUUGGUUUUGUUUCGGGUUUUUUUUUUUUUUUUCAUGGAUAGAUUUCAGCUAGAACCCCAAAACUCUGGUCUUAAUAUUCAGCAAUUCAUAACAUUUUGGCCAAAGUCUUCCUGUUAUUCGAGGUGAUGACAGCUCAGUUUUUGACAGCAAUGGGUCCAAUUGGUUCUUAAGAAAGCCUAGUGUGGUAGAAAAUGGACAGUUGGCCAGAGGGAAAUAAAAGUUCUUGGUACUAUUUGUGUAUGAAUGAGUGUAAGCAGUGAAGGAAAAUUACUUAACAUCAGCAGAGAAUUUGCCAAAAUUUUGUUGCAAUAUAACCUUCAGUACUGUACAGUACUGUAAGGGCAGAGACACCACCACAAUCCCUCCCUCCCAGUGCAUCAGAGAGACAACAUAAGUAGAGCAUUUUGAGAUGCUGAUUCAGUUUCUUACUUAGAUGAUCGCAGAAAAAAAACUGACAACAUUUUCACCAAAAAUGCAUCUGAUUGAUUCAGUGAUUCCAAAGUCAUUUGGCCAGAUCUAAAACUAACAAAGAUUUCCAAGUUUAUAAGGAACUGAACAUGAGGAAUCCAAGGCACUAUUUUCACUACAGAGUUAUCAGAGGGGGAAUGUGGUAAUACCACAAAAGCAGCCAACUGCAAAUGUCAAUGCCUGUAAGUGAAGUAAAGCAGUUCUCAACUAUGAGUGCCCUAUCCAACACAGCUGUGCUUACUGCCCUGUGAACUUUUUUUUAUCUCUGAAAACAUCUCAUUUUGUUAUUUUCUGUUCCUAGGAGCUCAGUGUGCGGGUGACUUCUGCAUGACAACAUGUAAUGCAGAUUCCCUGAAACUGUACUUUGCAUAUGGUAAAAGUUCAAUAAACAAGGCACAUGUU
rnacentral:lncRNA from 1 species